rnacentral:rRNA from 1 species
AUACCUUAGUACGGCGAGUGAAGCGGUAAAAGCUCAAAUUUGAAAUCUGGUACUUUCAGUGCCCGAGUUGUAAUUUGUAGAAUUUGUCUUUGAUUAGGUCCUUGUCUAUGUUCCUUGGAACAGGACGUCAUAGAGGGUGAGAAUCCCGUUUGGCGAGGAUACCUUUUCUCUGUAAGACUUUUUCGAAGAGUCGAGUUGUUUGGGAAUGCAGCUCAAAGUGGGUGGUAAAUUCCAUCUAAAGCUAAAUAUUGGCGAGAGACCGAUAGCGAACAAGUACAGUGAUGGAAAGAUGAAAAGAACUUUGAAAAGAGAGUGAAAAAGUACGUGAAAUUGUUGAAAGGGAAGGGCAUUUGAUCAGACAUGGUGUUUUUUGCAUGCACUCGCCUCUCGUGGGCUUGGGCCUCUCAAAAAUUUCACUGGGCCAACAUCAAUUCUGGCAGCAGGAUAAAUCAUUAAGAAUGUAGCUACUUCGGUAGUGUUAUAGCUUUUUGGAAUACUGUUAGCCGGGAUUGAGGACUGCGCUUCGGCAAGGAUGUUGGCAUAAUGGUUAAAUGCCGCCCGUCUUGA